rnacentral:lncRNA from 1 species
UUUCCCUUCUCAUCUUCUAUCUAAAAACCUAAUUUCAAAAUCCUCAAUCGUAUGUUUCCAUCUCCAUGAUCUGAUACAGCCAAAUGUUUGUUAUGCUGUCGCAGGGGAUUCACCAAGUUCAGCCGUACAGAUUAUUUGCAGUGGAAAUCUGAAAAUCGUAUCGUCUUUGAUGGUGUUAACGCCAAGCCGAAGAAACAUGACCCAUUGCAACAGGUCCUGGAACAAAAACAGGUCGGUCGUUACAUUCACCAAAGGAGGUCUGAGUCGAAAAGGUCUGCAGGGAUAAACAUAAGCAGCCUCGGAUUUGGCAGGAUGUUAGUCAUGUCAAGGGGUGAGUUUUGUGCUUAAAGACGCUCCCUCGCAUAUCGUGAAUGAUCUUCCGUUAAAGCUCCAAGGUUUUGUCCUCAAAAUCAGUGAAAGGCAGAUAUAAAUAACACAAAGGCUUAAGAAGUUGGAAGAGAACUCAGAGUAAUCAAAGUUUGUCCUCCAAGGUUUUGUCCUCGCAACUAUAUUAAACUACAGAUACAAAGAGUUUCCUUGGCUUUGGCCGGCUAGCUGAAGAGUAAAAGAAAUAGAAAUGAUGAUUGCCAUUUGCACAAAAGUAAAAAAUGUAAGUCAUAGUCAUGUUACUCUUUCAUUGCCAUUUGUAAACUCAGUUUUUCUUUGAUUGUGGAAGCGGCUGGUGUACACUUCCAUGGAGUGGUUCUCAUGUAAAUAUUCCCACUUCACAGUUUUUGAUUUAGUUUUAUAAUAUUUUUAUACACGUAUCCUAAAAUAAUGGCAUCUUUAUACAUCUUAUUUUCUUA